rnacentral:rRNA from 1 species
GACGGAGGAUGCAAGUGUUAUCCGGAAUCACUGGGCGUAAAGCGUCUGUAGGUGGUUCGAAAAGUCCACUGUUAAAAAUUGAGGCUUAACUUCAAAGAUGCCGUGGAAACUUUCAAACUAGAGUAUGGUAGGGGUAGAGGGAAUUUCCAGUGGAGCGGUGAAAUGCGUAGAUAUUGGAAAGAACACCGGUGGCGAAGGCGGCGAGCUGGUCCAUUACUGACGCUGAGGCGCGACAGCGUGGGGAGCAAACAGG